UGCAGGGUGUCAGUGGGGCACGAGUGGGGCUGUGAGUGCUGGGGGUAUCAGUGGGGCACGAGUGGGGCUGUGAGUGUUGUGGGGUGACAGUGGAGCAGCUGGCAGUGAUGGGGCACUGUGGGGUGGAGCUGAGGUGCUGCAGGGUGUCACUGGGAUUGAGGAUCUGUGGGGUGCCCCAAGGAUGGGACUCUGUAGAGUGUCACUGGGGCAGUGCUGGGGCACUGUAGGAUGUCACUGCAGUGCGGCUGGGAUGCAGGGUUAGAGCCAGGGCACUGGGGGGUGUCGCUGGGGCCAGGGUGCUGUGUGGUGUUGCUGGGACAGGAAUGGAACUGGUGUCAGGUGCUGAUGGGGUGGCACAGGGGCAGAGUUGUGGGUGUUGGGGGUAGGGAUAGGGCAGGUGUCUGCACUGAUGAGAGCUGAUGUGGGGUAGCUGUUGGGUGGCAUUGGGGCAGUCAUAAGGUUGAUGGGUUAAUGCAGGGUCUCCAUUGCCUAGCACUGUUGGUUUCUGACUGCCAGGCACCCAUAACUAUUUGCAGCCCAUAGCUUUCUUACCCUGUUCUCCAACCUUAGCUAUCAGUUGUCGCUAGGUUUAUCUGACUUCCUCCCUACUCCCAUUGCUGUGUACUGUAUUUAGUUUUUGUACACUUAUCCCACUGACCCCUCAAAUUGUAAAGUUCCUUCAGGGCUCUGGAUGAGUGUGGGACCCGUCCUCGCAGAGCGGCUUUCGGGGUCCUGGCUUUUCAGUUUAACUUUUCUAAAGAUGAGGUUAUCAAAAUAAAAAUAACAGAGUAUCACAGAGUUCUGAAAAUAAAGAACAUGUGAGCCUAGUUAGCAAAUGUAACAGCAGUGCAGUAAAGUGAAAAUUCAAUUUAAAAAGAAUUCAGUAUUCCAAAGAGGUAAAACUUGAAGUGUAGCAACCCUGAAUUCUAAUAAUCUUCUUUAAAAUAACACACUUUACAAGAAUAAACAUGUAAAAGGAAAACUGCAGUGAAAAGAAGAUUCUGAUUCUGACACAGAAUUAUAAAAGAUGAGUAAAAGAAGUUAUGAGCACCAACUUUUAGUUAUUUAAAGUUAUUGAAUGUUAUUCUAUGUAGAGAGACAAGGUGGGUGAGGUAAUACCUUUUGUUGGACCAACUUCUGUUGAUGACAGAGACAAGUUUUUGAGUGCCACAGAGCUGUUCUUCAGGUCUGGGAAAGGAACUGCCAGCCUCACAGCAAAGUACAAGGUGGAACAGAUUGUUCAGCAUAAGUAGUUAGCACAUAUUGUAAGGGACCAUUGAAGAUAGAGUGGCUUGUUUACUCUUCUGCAGUCAUAGGACAAAGAAGGGGGUUUAUAGGUUACAGAUUGUUGUAAUAAAUAGUAAAUCCACAGUCUCUCUCUUGGGUCCAUGGUUUUUUGAAAGCAUUGUGCAGGUUUCUUUUGAGAAUGAGGACAUAAACGCUUUGUGAAAAGUGUUCACCCACAGGGGCUAUAGGGUGUUUUUGCUGCUGGGAGUUCCUUUAGCAGACCUGAAGAACCUGUGACUCAAAAGCUUGUCUCCAACAGGAGCUGGUCUAAUAAAGAUAUUACCUCACCUGCCUUGUCUCUCUAAUAUCCUGGAAACAUUACACAAGUACAACUACACUGCAUGCUAUCUUUUAUGUAGACAAUCUGAUUAACAGUAGGUUAGAGAGUGUGGUUACUGGAAUGCAUUGGAAAGUAGGAAUAAUUCAAAAUUCUA